rnacentral:sRNA from 1 species
GCAAGGUUGAAUGGAAUCUCUUUACAUUGC